AACCUUCUGGGUGAUCUUGCUGUAAGAAUGAAAUGCAAUUCUAUAUGUAAAAUGCUUCAAGAGCCCUUGAUCCAUAGACGCGUGCUGUAGUUUCAAUGGCUCCAUCAGCUGAGAGCGUGAGCUCUCAGAGGCUGCUUCAGAGGAAACCCAAGAGGAUGCUCUCCUGUCUCAGAAUCAGUAAAUACAACCAAUAAUGAACUGUGCCAGAUUCUAAGUCCUCACCCCGUGUCAUGCUGCAGGGACCCACUGUCUGGGAAAAGCCACCUCUGACUGAGAGGCAGGGACAUAGAUGGGAAAUUGAGUCUAGCAAACAUGUAUUCACCAGCAUAAGUAUCUAGAAUCCUAUGGCUUUGAGUGACUGUUACCUUGGGCUAAAUGACUUCAUCGGGGAAUGUGUGUAUGUGUAGAAAUAUCUACAUAAUAAAAAAAUUCAUUUGAAAAACAUUUUAAAGUAAUUACUUAAUUAUUUAAGCUAUGUGAUUUCCAAAAUGAAAUACUUUGGCAAAUUUAUUCCUUCUUUAUCUUAAAACAGUAAGUGUGAGUAC